GUAAUACUCCCUCCGUCCGGAAUUACUUGUCAUCAAAAUGGAUGAAAAUGGAUGUAUCUACAACUAAAAUACAUCUAGAUACAUCCAUUUCAAUGACAAGUAUUUCCGGACGGAGGGAGUAGAAG
rnacentral:pre_miRNA from 1 species